rnacentral:rRNA from 1 species
UACCAGACUCCUACGGGAGGCAGCAGUGGGGAAUAUUGGGCAAUGGGCGCAAGCCUGACCCAGCAAUGCCGCGUGAAGGAAGAAGGCUUUCGGGUUGUAAACUUCUUUGACAGGGGAAGAGCAGAAGACGGUACCCUGAAAACAAGCCACGGCUAACUACGUGCCAGCAGCCGCGGUAAUACGUAGGUGGCAAGCGUUGUCCGGAUUUACUGGGUGUAAAGGGCGUGUAGCCGGGAAGGCAAGUCAGAUGUGAAAUCUGGAGGCUCAACCUCCAAAUUGCAUUUGAAACUGUUUUUCUUGAGUACUGGAGAGGCAGACGGAAUUCCUUGUGUAGCGGUGAAAUGCGUAGAUAUCAGGAGGAACACCGGCGGCGAAGGCGGCCUGCUGGACCGUGACUGACGUUGAGGCUCGAGAGCGUGGGGAGCAAACAGGAUUAGAUACCCCCG